GACAGAAAGUGCAGACGUUAUUCGGCUUGACUGGGCGUAAAGGAUAUGUAGACGGUUUUUAAAACUAAAUAUGAAUGGCUAUGGACAUCACCAUUGAUAGAUAUUUAAAGAUUUUUAAACUUGAGUUACGGAGAGGUUCUUGAAACUUUGCAGGUACAUUGAGGUCAAAUACGCAGAUCUGCGAAGGAAUGCUUACGGCGAAGGCUUUUUUCUGGACGUAACUGACGUUGAGGUAUUAAAGUUAGGGUAGCAAACGGG
rnacentral:rRNA from 1 species